GCGACCCCAGGAUGGGCGAGGACACCCGCUGAGUUUAAGCAUAUCAAUAAGCGGAGGAG
rnacentral:rRNA from 1 species